CUUUUUCUUUCACCGGAGCUUGCUCCACCGAAAGAAAAAGAGUGGCGAACGGGUGAGUAACACGUGGGUAACCUGCCCAUCAGAAGGGGAUAACACUUGGAAACAGGUGCUAAUACCGUAUAACACUAUUUUCCGCAUGGAAGAAAGUUGAAAGGCGCUUUUGCGUCACUGAUGGAUGGACCCGCGGUGCAUUAGCUAGUUGGUGAGGUAACGGCUCACCAAGGCAACGAUGCAUAGCCGACCUGAGAGGGUGAUCGGCCACACUGGGACUGAGACACGGCCCAGACUCCUACGGGAGGCAGCAGUAGGGAAUCUUCGGCAAUGGACGAAAGUCUGACCGAGCAACGCCGCGUGAGUGAAGAAGGUUUUCGGAUCGUAAAACUCUGUUGUUAGAGAAGAACAAGGAUGAGAGUAAAAUGUUCAUCCCUUGACGGUAUCUAACCAGAAAGCCACGGCUAACUACGUGCCAGCAGCCGCGGUAAUACGUAGGUGGCAAGCGUUGUCCGGAUUUAUUGGGCGGAAAGCGAGCGCAGGCGGUUUCUUAAGUCUGAUGUGAAAGCCCCCGGCUCAACCGGGGAGGGUCAUUGGAAACUGGGAGACUUGAGUGCAGAAGAGGAGAGUGGAAUUCCAUGUGUAGCGGUGAAAUGCGUAGAUAUAUGGAGGAACACCAGUGGCGAAGGCGGCUCUCUGGUCUGUAACUGACGCUGAGGCUCGAAAGCGUGGCGAGCGAACAGGAUUAGAUACCCUGGUAGUCCACGCCGUAAACGAUGAGUGCUAAGUGUUGGAGGGUUUCCGCCCUUCAGUGCUGCAGCAAACGCAUUAAGCACUCCGCCUGGCGAGUACGACCGCAAGGUUGAAACUCAAAGGAAUUGACGG
rnacentral:rRNA from 1 species